GACGAACGCUGGCGGCGCGCUUAACACAUGCAAGUCGAACGGAAAGGCCUGCUUUCCCUUGUGGAUUGCGGGUACUCGAGUGGCGAACGGGUGAGUAACACGUGAGUGAUCUGCCCCCAACUUGGGUAUAAGCCUGGGAAGCUGGGUCUAAUUCCCGAUAGGACUGCAGGGUGGUGCCUGUGGUGGAAAACGAUUUUCUAGUGGUUGGGGAUGAGCUCGCGGCCUAUCAGCUUGUUGGUGGGGUAAUGGCCUACCAAGGCGGCGACGGGUAGCCGGCCUGAGAGGGUGGACAGCCACAUUGGGACUGAGAUACGGCCCAGACUCCUACGGGAGGCAGCAGUGGGGAAUAUUGCACAAUGGGCGGAAGCCUGAUGCAGCGACGCCGCGUGGGGGAUGACGGCCUUCGGGUUGUAAACUCCUUUCGACCGCGAGGAAGCCACCUGGUUGGAAGGGUGGUGACGGCAGUGGUAGAAGAAGCACCGGCUAACUACGUG
rnacentral:rRNA from 1 species